rnacentral:rRNA from 1 species
GACGAACGCUGGCGGCGUGCUUAACACAUGCAAGUCGAACGAAGUGGCGAACGGGUGAGUAACGCGUAAUCAACCUGCCCUUCGGAGGGGUACAACAGUUGGAAACGACUGCUAAUACCGCAUACUGAAGGAGGGGAUUUCGUCUGCUUAGGUGGUUGGAGGGGUAACGGCCCAACAAGGCGAGGAUCAGUAGCCGGUCUGAGAGGGUGAACGGGCAAAAUUGGACUGAGACACGGCCCAGAAUCCUACGGGAGGCAGGAGGUGGGAAUCUUCCGCAAUGGGGGGAAGUCUGACGGAGCAAAGCCGGGGGAGUGAAGAAGGCCUUCGGGUUGGAAAGCUCUGUUAAGCGGGAAGCGGUACCGGAAGAGAAAGCCACGGCUAACUACGUGCCAGCCGCCGCGGUAAUAC